rnacentral:autocatalytically_spliced_intron from 1 species
AAGAGCCGUAUGCCUUAAUUGGGCACGUACGGAUCUGUGAGGGUUUGCAGGCCCAACCUACAAAAUGGUAGGCCUGCAUUCUACUCGAC